rnacentral:lncRNA from 1 species
GGCUUCUUGCGCUCGAACUUGCCGCGGGCGGCGCGGACGGUGAAGGAGCGGCGGCGGGUGGUGGUGUUGGCAGCGGCGAGGUGGAGGAUUGUGGUGGGGUGGAUGAAGGAAGAGGAGAGGUGUGUGGCGGAGGGUUUGUGGGUUUUAAGGAAGAGAUAAUUGGAGGAGGGUGAAGGAGAGAAGUGGACAUGAGGAGGGUAUGCGAGCUUUGAGGUUGUUGCUGCUGCCCAAGAAAUUGCCAUUGGAAAGUGAGGUUUUUGGUUUGGUGUAUGAGAC